AAUAGCACAUUUUUAAGUUUAUAUCACAAAAAUAGCACUCAAAAACUAAAAUGACCAAAAUAGCACCUUUCAAAGUUUAUCCUUUGAAAAUUUUAAUUUUUUAUAUUUUUCAAAAUUUAAAAUCUUAUCCCCAAAACCUCAUUUCUCAACUUUAAACCCUAAACCCUAAACUCUAAACUCUAAACCCUAAACCAUAAACUCUAAACCCUAAACCCUAAACCCUAAAUUCUAAACCCUAAACCCUAAACCCUAAACUCUAAACCCUAAACUCUAAACCCUAAACCCUAAACCCUAAAUCCUAAACUCCACCCUUUAACUCUAAACC
rnacentral:lncRNA from 1 species